rnacentral:rRNA from 1 species
UACGAAGGGGGCUAGCGUUGCUCGGAAUCACUGGGCGUAAAGCGCACGUAGGCGGACUUGUCAGUCAGGGGUGAAAUCCCGGGGCUCAACCUCGGAACUGCCUUUGAUACUGCAAAUCUCGAGUCCGGAAGAGGUGAGUGGAAUUCCUAGUGUAGAGGUGAAAUUCGUAGAUAUUAGGAAGAACACCAGUGGCGAAGGCGGCUCACUGGUCCGGUACUGACGCUGAGGCGCGAAAGCGUGGGGAUCAAACAGG